GGGGUUGUGGCUCAGGGAUAGAGCACUUGCCUAGCACAUGCAAGGCCCUGGGUUCAAUCCUCAGCACCACA
rnacentral:tRNA from 1 species